AUACUUACCUGGCAGGGUUGAUACUGUCAUCAUGAAGAUGAUUUUCCAAGAACAAUCCUUCUCCAUUGUAUUCUAGAUUUGCUUAACCCCUGAAAUUUCCCCAGAUGUGCCAAAUGUGGGGAACUGACUGUGUAAUUUGUGUUAGUAGAAUAUUGAGUUUGCAGCUUCCCC